rnacentral:rRNA from 1 species
CGCUCUUCANUGCCUUGAGGUNGGGGGAAACAGUUGGAAACGACUGCUAAUACCGCAUNAAUGUCUACGGACCAAAGGGGGCUUCGGCUCUCGCCUUUAGAUUGGCCCAAGUGGGAUUAGCUAGUUGGUGAGGUAAUGGCUCACCAAGGCGACGAUCCCUAGCUGGUUUGAGAGGAUGAUCAGCCACACUGGGACUGAGACACGGCCCAGACUCCUACGGGAGGCAGCAGUGGGGAAUAUUGCACAAUGGGCGCAAGCCUGAUGCAGCCAUGCCGCGUGUGUGAAGAAGGCCUUCGGGUUGUAAAGCACUUUCAGUCAGGAGGAAAGGUUAGUAGUUAAUACCUGCUAGCUGUGACGUUACUGACAGAAGAAGCACCGGCUAACUCCGUGCCAGCAGCCGCGGUAAUACGGAGGGUGCGAGCGUUAAUCGGAAUUACUGGGCGUAAAGCGUACGCAGGCGGUUUGUUAAGCGAGAUGUGAAAGCCCCGGGCUCAACCUGGGAACUGCAUUUCGAACUGGCAAACUAGAGUGUGAUAGAGGGUGGUAGNAAUUUCAGGUGUAGCGGUGAAAUGCGUAGAGAUCUGAAGGAAUACCGAUGGCGAAGGCAGCCACCUGGGUNCAACACUGACGCUCAUGUACGNAAAGCGUGGGGNAGCNAAACGGGNAUUAGAUANCCCCGGUAGUCCACGCCGUNAAACGAUGUCUACUAGAAGCNUCGGNANGCCUCGGUUCUGUUUUUCAAAGCUAACGCAUUAAGUAGACCGCCUGGGGAGUACGG